UCGACUCAAGAUUUCACAUCUAUGUGCCUAUUAGCUUCUUUUUUGAUUUGUCUUCUACACUUCACAUGUAUUAGGUUUCCCCCAAAUGUUAGUAUUUGCAAAACAGAUUGUUUUCUGGUGCUUUUUGCAUAUUCUUUGCCCGUUUUUCGGCACAUGUUCACCACUUGCUUGUUCUCCUUGAGGUAAGUGGUGUGUGUACUUUUCACCCAGUCCAUUUCUGUUUGUUUCACGGCAGUCCAGGUUGUUUAAUGUAACUUCCAUUGAGCAAUGACAAUCUACUUGUUCUCUUCCGGUCUGUUUGGUUUGGAAGAUGGUUUGGAGGAUUUUUUGAAAAUUUCUGUUUUAUUUUUUUCUGCAGUUCUUUGGCUGAGAAAGGAGGUCUUGAUCUUGAGAAAAUAACGGCUCAUCCUGACUUUAUGAUUCUUGCAAUAAUGAAUCCUGGUGGUGAUUAUGGGAAGAAGGAACUAUCUCCUACCCUUCGGAAUCGAUUUACAGAGAAUGGGUUCCUCCGAUAAAUGACCUAAAUGAGCUGAGAACUAUAGGUCUAUAGAGGUUGUGCACCGCUAUUUCUUACACACGCUUAAAAAAGGAAAACAGAUGUUUCUAGAGCUCCGUUUCUUCGCGAUUGGGACCUCUGCCGGCUGAAAUCUCAAGGGUUUAUGCUCUUUCUUCGGCAGUUGUACACUGUAGAUCGUUGCUAUCCGACCUCGACGGAGGGUAUAGUUCUCCCUCCGAUAAGUAUUUAGGCAUCUCUUGUACUGGUUGUUGUAUGCUGUAGAUCGUUGGUUUUCAACCUCGACAGAGGCUAUAGUUCUCUCUUCGAUAUAUGUUUACAAAAAAAUCUUUAUAUAUAUCUAUAUGCAUACACACACACACAGAGAAAGAGAGAGUUUCGUCGAUUUGUUUUGUUUGUGGCGUUUACUUAGUUUGUAA